CGAAGUAAAAGUCGUAACAAGGUUUCCGUAGGUGAACCUGCGGAAGGAUCAUUAUUGUAUAACCGAGGUGCGAGGGCUGUCGCUGACCCGAAAGGUCGUGCACGCCCGAGUGCCCUCACACACAUCCAUCUCACCCCUAUGUGCACCACCGCGUGGGUCCCCCUUUGGCUUGUUCGGAGGGGGGCUUACGUUUUCACACAAACUUUGUAUGCAGUGUAGAAUGUAUUUUUUGUUUUUGCGAUCACGCAAUCAAUACAACUUUCAACAACGGAUCUCUUGGCUCUC
rnacentral:misc_RNA from 1 species